AGCAGCUAAGCAGAAUGCAUCCCUCCAUGUAAGAUGGACUUAAACAUGGCCAAGACACCGAGGCAAACAUCAUAAUUACUGAUGGAAAAGGUUGCCAAACAUAUCGUGUCUCUUCUCUUUUCUGCUGGCUGGUGGAAGAGGAAGAGAAAUCCUUUCUAAGUAGAAAAAUUCAUCCUGUAUUUCCCUUUUCCAAUUCUUCAAGGUCUCUUUCUCCUCAUUUCAUUGUCUUUCUCAAAGAGAUGCCGAAUGAUGUUUUGCUCACUCCAUAUAUGGAUCAUGGAACUGUCCUUUUUCCUUUGGCACAUUUGCUAAAUUUUUAAGUUUUAUAUAUACUGGUAAUGUUGAGAACUUUAUUAAAGCUAGAGCCUUAGUUUCACAGCAAAAACUGCAACAAACAUGAUUAGGAAGCUUGCUGUAAAUCUCAUUGCCUACAUUUAAUCUGGAAGCCACAGAGAGGCAAUAAACAUGGUAAACGCUGUUGCCACUUAAUGCGUUACUUUCCAAACUACAAUAAGAUCAUAGUUUAAUUGUGUUUACCUCAAGAAUUUCUUCAUCAUAUUUCCAUGAAAUUCAAGAUAACAAAAAUCAGUAAUUCUGGUUUGGGAGCAAAAGUUACCACUUGUUGCCAAAGAAUUGUGUGCUGCUUGAGUUUUGAUGUUCUUGCUGCUAUCUACAAGCCCAAUUUUUCCAUGUGACUUUGUGAUGAGAUCGAAAUCUCUGUAUGAAAUGUUAAAACCCAUGGCACUUGCAAAACAGAAAGAUUUACGUAAUGAGCAGCGGUUGAGGAAAAUAAGGUUGUACUCACUAGCGAAGGGGCGACAUUGUGGUGAUCUAAUUGAUGCUUUUCUUCAUAUGCAGAAGACUGAUAAAAUUGACCUAGAUAAACUUUUCCCACUGGCAAAAACACAAAACCAAGAUGACAUAAUGCACAUCCCAGGAAAUCAGGAACAGCUCUGAAGAUACAUAUUUGUAAGCUCCACGGACGUGUAAAUUACCUCAGAAGCACUAUUCACAUUACUUCUAGGAGGAGGACAUAUGACAGAAACAGGCUUUUGGGAAGGAAAUCGGUAUGCAGGAGUGUUCAGCUACCCAAGAGUAACCCAGCAUUUUGUGGACAAGUUAACAUCCCAUGUGUCCACUGCACGGAGCAGCAGGAGCCAUUAGAAAUAUUCUGAGGAAAUACUGUGGUUCCCCAGCACCAGCUAACACUGGCACUGCAGAAGCUGUCUUAGACACUGCUUGUUCUGUACCUAUAAAUGUCCUUGAAUAACGUACGUGGCUCCAUCUCUGCCUUUGCUGACUCCCUGUGCCCUACUGUUACUCACGGAGAUGCUGCUACAUCACCUGACGGCAAGCGAUACCCACAAGCACAGAUAGAUACUGAAGACGCUAUUUUCCAAAGGCUUGCUGCAAUAGGCAUUGCAUUGUCAGCAGGUCACCCAUUGCCUUAACGGUUGCAUCUCCCAAAGGGCGUCGCUCCAAAGCCAAUGACAAACUCGUGUCGGCUUUCUCCAGGCUGGACAGAAUCGCAGCUGUGGUGGGACACGGCAGCAUUACAGCCUCCUGUUGUCGGGGCAGCCCCGAAUCCUGCGUGAAGAGGUUUGAGGAAUGCCCCCAGCAGCUUUGCAAAUGAAAUCUGAGUUGAAAUACGUGAUUUCUCUUAACAUGCCGUUUAAAAUCUUCCCUUUGAAAUAGCAAUGCUUUCCUCAAAACUGUUGUCAUACACUAAGGGACAUCUCAGAGCAGCAGUGACAGUGUCACUAGACCCAGCCCAGAAGCCAGGCAGAUCCGAGACCACGCGGGUCACGCUGCCAUGUUCACUGCUCAUCGGAAAAGGUGGGAGCCAUCACUCACAGUUGGAGCCAUAAUUCAGUGUCAGUCAUCUUUUCUCUCUGUUUUCUGCUGUUUUACAGGAAUUGUUUUUAGUAGUUUUUAUACCUCAGCUCCUCUUUUCAAUGGACUCAGUGGAUGGCUUACUCUCUAAUUUCUGGUAUGGAUUACUUCGGUCAAAGUGCAUUUUUCUCUUAGUACACUCUUUAAAUAAA